rnacentral:lncRNA from 1 species
AUAUUUAUCAUGGAGCAAUAUUCAGGGUCUGGAUUGUGAGUUCCUGCUGUGAAGUACAACGAAUGUAAUAUCUAGAAAACGAGAGAGCAGAUGUAGUUGGGUUGUACAAUCCAAUGCUACAUCCAUCACACUGUGAAAAGAAUAACUGCGGAUCCUGAAAGAUAAGAAUAUAUGGAGCAGAAAUGGUGCAAAUUUUCACUGGAUUGAAAAGAAAUGCACAAUUCCGCAACCUAUGAUAAAUCAUGGUGAAGUAGAAGACCCUUUGGGUCAAUAUCUGGUUUGUGUGCUUAUUGCCAGCCAAGGACCAAGUUUCUCUGCCACAGCACGAAGGAGAGAAGGAAAGAUGGAAGUUGGUGAAAUAAAAAUUUCAGUAGCAGUGAGAAAACUGUUACAAAACGUAAGAGUUCUUUUUUUUUUUUUUUAACUUUUUUCAAGUUGAGUGCAAUUCUACAGCAUUCAGAAAGGCAAAGAG